rnacentral:rRNA from 1 species
UGGGGAAUAUUGCGCAAUGGGGGAAACCCUGACGCAGCGACGCCGCGUGCGGGAUGAAGGCCUUCGGGUUGUAAACCGCUUUUGAUUGGGAGCAAGCCUUUUGGGUGAGUGUACCUUUCGAAUAAGCGCCGGCUAACUACGUGCCAGCAGCCGCGGUAAUACGUAGGGCGCAAGCGUUAUCCGGAAUUAUUGGGCGUAAAGGGUACGUAGGCGGUUUUUUAAGUCAGGUGUCAAAGCGUGGAGCUUAACUCCAUUAAGCACUUGAAACUGAAAGACUUGAGUGAAGGAGAGGAAAGUGGAAUUCCUAGUGUAGCGGUGAAAUGCGUAGAUAUUAGGAGGAAUACCGGUGGCGAAGGCGACUUUCUGGACUUUUACUGACGCUCAGGUACGAAAGCGUGGGGAGCAAACAGG